AAUAAGAAGCGGCAGCGGUAAACUUGCCCCGCGUGGACGAACGGAGUGAGAGUUUAUAUCAAGACUUGGACAUUUUCAUGACAGAGCAGCAGCUGAACAUCAUCAAAAUGUCUGAAGCUUUCUUCUUUUUAUCUAUAGCAACACCCUUAGAGUCCUCUGUAUGCUCAGAAUACUGCACUAUGGACCAGCAUCAUUCUGCAUCGUGCAUGGUUUUCAUUCUUCAGGCCCUGUGGAACAGCUGAAGGUAAGUGCUGAGGUCCUGUGUGAUCAGCCAUAACUGCUAAAAAUGGCUACUACAACCAAGCGAUUGAUGACUCCUACCUUCAUCUGGAUUGCAGACUUUGAGUAGUGUAUUGGGAUCUUGUGACUGGAUUUGGGUCUUUUCUGCAUCUGCCUGGAACUCAAAUGACCUUCCCUGCCAGAACAACCACCAAUGAGCAUGAACCCACAAAUCCACCAGCUGUGCUGAGAAGUCGGUGUGUUGUGGUGUCUCUACCAAGUGAUCCUUAUUGUGAUGCAUGAUGGGAGUUUUUUUUUUUUUUUUUUUUUUUUUUACUUACUGAAUGUCUGUACUUAAGACUAGCAUAUAUUUCUGUUCAAGUUGUAUAGUAUUGUGGAAAAAAGUUAACAGAACACAGAACCGUUCUUUGAUGAAAUUUGGUGUUUUAUAUUUUUAUUUUUAUUAUUUUGGAUAGCAAUGUCUAAAAUGGUUGGAAUGAUACUUGAAGCCUUUCAGUGGGAUAUUGCUGCUUAGUAGCCUUGUUAAACUACAGUCCCUUUUUAAACGUCUAAACUGGCAACACUAUCAGGUUUACACUUUAAAUAUGAGGUGUGCACUUUGGGUCAAAACAAGCUCUCACUCAAGUCUGGAGAUUGAGUGAAAGAGAGAGACUGGUUUCAUAGUACAGUUGGCAGAUUUGAGAGACAAAAUGAGGAAAUACUUUUAAAUUGGGUGAAUCAACCACAGUUCAAGCUGUGCCACUUGCAACAGUUCUGAGAUUUGUUUUGAAAUUGUUUGGUUUCCUGAUUUCAUUAGCUUGAAUAGGAUUUUGUGAUCUGUGGUGCUGCAGCGACGAUUGCCAGUUAAAACCUACCUUAGGGAUGUCCAGUCUUAUCUGCAAUGAGCCAGCCUGGCAGCAGGUUUUCUUUCCAACAAUUGCUUGACCAAAAUGGAAUGAACUCAUAGAAUCUAGUGUGUUCCUGCUUGAUUAGGAUGAAGACCUGCAGCCACACUAGCCUUUUAGAAGUAACAUUGGACACCCUGGCCUACACCUCAAAAGUAAAUGAAAUGAUUAAUCUACACCAAAAGAGACAGUGUUUCAAAACCCUGGUUGUGGAGGCCCACUAUCCUGCCCCUCUUGUUGCUUUUCCUGCUUUAUCAUGCCCACUUACUCUGAGUAAGAGGUUGUUAAUGCGAUGGGCCCAGUUUCCCAAAAGCAUUGUAGUGUUAAAAGCAUCUUAACUAGUAAAAGGGGAGUAUUUGGUAUGAUGCUUUCAGGAAACCCAGCCUCAAAUAGUUGACCAGGGGUGUUUGGAGCAGGGAAUAUGCUAAAAUGGGCAGAGCAGGGGCCCCAGGACCAGGGUUGUGAAAUGGUGUAGACUUUCAAAAUGCUUCUGUUAUGCAGAUGUUUCUCUAGUUUUGUAUGGGUGUACUGGCUGCUUGAGAACUCUGUCCUCUUGUUUGUGAAUUGAUAUGUUGUACAUGUCAAAUAAGUCAUACAUUUGAUAUCAGUAUGUGCCAAUACAUUGCUGCUUUUAUUAUUUUUUUCAGUGUAGAAGUGUAAUUUACACUUCUUGUUCUCCUUACCUGAGUAGUAGUGGUACUGAUAUUUCAUACCGAUAUUGAAUGGAUAAAUGCUUGCACACAUUUUUACUUGUUUCUGGUUCCAGUAGCUGAGUUUGUAAAAUUUGCUUAUGACACUUUGGGUUAUUUAUACUGUAUUAUUGAAACAUCCAAAUUAAGUUAAAUUGGGGAAUAAACAGUCAAAAUCUAAUGUGUUCCUGUCAAUUUCUGUUGGUCAACCACACAUCAGUAUGUUCAGAGAGUAGUAGCCUACACUGUAUUUGUAUGCUCUUCAGGGCUGUAUUAAUCCAUUUAUGCC